rnacentral:rRNA from 1 species
AGCGAACGCUGGCGGCAGGCCUAAUACAUGCAAGUCGAGCGGGUGUAGCAAUACACCAGCGGCAGACGGGAGAGUAACACGUGGGAACGUGCCCUUCAGUUCGGAACAACCCAGGGAAACUUGGGCUAAUACCGGAUACGUCCGUAAGGAGAAAGAUUUAUCGCUGAAGGAUCGGCCCGCGUCUGAUUAGCUUGUUGGUGAGGUAACGGCUCACCAAGGCGACGAUCAGUAGCUGGUCUGAGAGGAUGAUCAGCCUCACUGGGACUGAGACACGGCC